GGGAUAUCACAAUACAGCAACUUUUGUUCCACUGUAGGUACAGCCAGGCUCACACGAGGCUGUUUGUCUGUUGGGGACCACAUUUUUCAUGCUUUUAGGAAUUGGCACACUAGGAUCAUUGUUUCCGUGGGUUUGGAUACUGGUGUUCAUCAGAGAUGGGCUAUUGAAAUUGGGUGGAUCCAUCGUGGCAAUUCCUCUGGUCCAAAAGGGAUCCAGAGGAAAAGAUAAAUGUAAUUUUUUUAUGCUAAAAAAUCAACAGCACAGGGAAUGUAACCCCUUAUUAGGCUUGAGCCUUAUUAAUGUGGAGAUUAAAUACAACACAAAGUUGUAACGUUAUCACCAGAGGAACUUCUUCAGGCUGUGAAUUGCUGUGCUGCCCUGGAGAUCAUUUAUAUAUAGAAGACAUCAUGAAAAAAGUGGAAAAAAUUGUUUGAAAUUGAAAGAUGACCAAACAAGAUAAAUUAGUGUUAAUAUUAAAAAUGAACUUCCUGUGAGAUAAAAAAGCUGGGAAAAGGCAGAAUGAGGGAAAGACCUGACCCACUCCAAAUGCCCCAGGGUGUCAAAAGUGUCCC